UGCGGAGGGUGCAAACGUUGCUCGGAAUCAUUGGGCGUAAAGCGCACGUAGGCGGACUGUUAAGUCGGAUGUGAAAUCCCUCAGCUUAACUGAGGAAGUGCACUCGAAACUGGCAGUCUUGAAUAUGGAAGAGGGUCGCGGAAUUCCCGGUGUAGAGGUGAAAUUCGUAGAUAUCGGGAGGAACACCAGUGGCGAAGGCGGCGACCUGGUCCUUUACUGACGCUGAGGCGCGAAAGCGUGGGGAGCAAACAGGG
rnacentral:rRNA from 1 species